GGGGAUGCGCCGAAGUUGGAGAGUCGGGGCAGACUGUAAAUCUGUUGCUUAUAGCUGAGGGGGUUCGAGUCCCUCCAUCCCCA
rfam:Saprospira grandis str. Lewin, complete genome.